AGCAGUAGCCGCGGUAAUACGAGGGGGGCGAGCGUUAAUCGGAAUUACUGGGCGUAAAGCGUACGCAGGCGGUUUGUUAAGUCAGAUGUGAAAUCCCCGAGCUUAACUCGGGAACUGCAUUUGAAACUGGCAGGCUAGAGUCUCGUAGAGGGGGGUAGAAUUCCAGGUGUAGCGGUGAAAUGCGUAGAGAUCUGGAGGAAUACCGGUGGCGAAGGCGGCCCCCUGGACGAAGACUGACGCUCAGGUACGAAAGCGUGGGGAGCAAACAGGAUUAGAUACCCCUGUAGUCCCUGUCUCUUAUAC
rnacentral:rRNA from 1 species